rnacentral:rRNA from 1 species
UAGCCCAUCCUUCCUGGAACGGUGGAUGGGUGAAAGCUCCGGCGGCCUAGGAUAGCUCUGCGGCCUAUCAGGUUGUAGGGAGGGUAACGUCCUCUCUAGCCUACGACGGGUAUGGGUGUUGGGAGACAUCGCCCAGAGAUGGAUUCUGAGACACGAAUCCAGGCCCUACGGGGCGCAGCAGGCGCGAAAACUGCACAAUGUGGGAAACCACGAUGCGGGAAACCCAAGUGCCAGCACUAUGUGUUGGCUGUCCUCAAGUGUUCGUAACUUGGGAAGAAAGUGCUGGGUAAGACGGGUGCCAGCCGCCGCGGUAAUACCCGCAGCACAAGUGGUGGUCAUUAUUAUUGGGCCUAAAGCGUCCGUAGCUGGCUUGUUAGAUGUCUGGGUAAAUCGAUGCGCUUAACGCAUCGAAUUCCGGGUAGACCGGCAAGCUCGAGACCGGGAGAGGUGUAGGCUACUCGAGGGGUAGGGGUAAAAUCCUGUAAUCCUUCGGGGAGGACCAGUGGCGAAGGCGCUACACUAGAACGGCUCUGACAGUGAGGGACGAAGCCCUGGGGCGCAAACCGGAUUAGAUACCCGGGUAGUCCAGGGUGUAAACGC